UUUUCGGAUGGAAGCCAAAUUGACUGAGUGGCGGACGGGUGAGUAACGCGUGGGUAACCUGCCUCAUACAGGGGGAUAACAGUUAGAAAUGACUGCUAAUACCGCAUAAGCGCAUGGAGACGCAUGUUUCUGUGUGAAAAACUCCGGUGGUAUGAGAUGGACCUGCGUCUGAUUAGCUAGUUGGUGAGGUAACGGCCCACCAAGGCGACGAUCAGUAGCCGACCUGAGAGGGUGACCGGCCACAUUGGGACUGAGACACGGCCCAAACUCC
rnacentral:rRNA from 1 species